CCCAUUAUUUUUAUUUAUUUAUUUUGUAGAGCGUACCCAGACUCGUCCAGCCGUUCCGCGGCGAAACUAUCCUACGGUGCAGCCAAGACCCCAUGGGGGAAGAGAAGACGACGAUCGCCUUCGACGGCGGCGAAUCGGCAGCGCAGGAGAAGAGGAGGAAGCAGAAGCAGCAGAAGAAGAAGGGGGCUGUGGUGGUGGUGAUGGGGGCGACGGGCGCCGGGAAGUCCCGGCUGGCGAUCGACCUGGCCUCCGUCUUCCCUGGUGUGGAGGUCGUCAACGCCGACUCCAUGCAGGUCUACCACGGCCUCGACGUCGUCACCAACAAGCCUCCUCCCUCCGAUCGCAACGGUGUUCCUCAUCAUCUUUUAGGCAUGAUUGAUGCUUCUAUGGAGUUCACUUCCAGAGAUUUCCGUAAUCUUGCUAUUCCGAUCAUUGAUGACAUAUUAUCACGCAAUGGCCUUCCAGUUAUUGUUGGUGGCACAAAUUACUAUAUCCAGGCUCUUGUGAGUCCAUUCCUUGUCGAUGAUGUGUUAGAAGACUUGCAUGAGUGCUCUGUCGCUGACCUAUCAGAUCUUAAAGAUUUUGAUGUGAGCGGAGGGUAUGAGCGCCUUAAGGAGAUCGAUCCAGUUGCUGCAAACAGGAUCCACCCAAAUGACCAGAGAAAAAUAAAUCGGUACCUCAGCUUACAUGCUAGCUCGGGUGCUCUCCCUAGUAACUUAUACCGAGGAAAGGCUGCAGAGAAGUGGGGUCGAGUGAGCAAUUUCAGAUACAAUUGUUUUUUUAUAUGGCUGGAUGCUUCCCUUCCUGUACUGGAUCGAUAUGUUGACCAAAGAGUUGAUUGCAUGAUUGAUUCUGGUCUGUUGAAUGAAGUGCGUGCUAUUUACAAUCCAUCUGCUGUUUAUACUCGAGGGCUGUUUCAGGCUAUUGGCAUUCGUGAAUUUAACGACUUCUUUCAAAGUUACUUUGCCAACAAAGAUGCUGAUUUGCGUCAUAAACUUGCUGUUUCUGAUGUUUUGAAUUCCAAUGAUGAUAAACUGAAGAAUUUGUUAAAUGAAGCCAUUGGCAAGCUAAAAGCCAACACGCGCAAGCUUGUCCGCCGUCAAAGACGAAGACUUCAUCGGUUGAAAAAAGACUUUGGGUGGGACUUGAAUUAUAUUGACGCAACAAAAGCGUUCUUUUGCGAGGCAGGAGAUAUAUGGCAUACGAAAAUUGUGGGCGAUUGUGUUGAUUUACUUAGAACUUUUUUGUGCGAGAAUGCUAGUUCUUUGGCAUGUAGUGAAGAACUUGGUGAUGUUCAAAGCCAGGUACUGGUUUCAAAGGACUUGUGGACUCAAUAUAUCUGUGAGUUGAAUGCAGCUAUGAAGAUACUUGUUACCAAUGAUAUCAGUGUGAGAAGAAGAAAGCGACGACAGAUCUAGAGGCUAGCUACCAAUGUCAACCAAUUAAAUGCCAAGUUUCCAAGUUCGCACUGCAUUCAGCCAGGUCUGCACGGCUGAGAUGAUUGAUGGUGAUCAACAGCAAUGAGGAGAGCAGUGGCAGUCAAGGUAGGUGCUAGAGGCUAUAAGGCUACGUCAGCUAGAUGGGCUGCGAUGGCAGAGCAAGCAGCGGCAACCAAGGUGAGCAGCAGGGACAUACAAGGUAGCACAAGAAAAGAUGACUGCCGGCUGCUAAUACAUGCGACAACAGCUCCGUAGAGCAAGCAGCAGCAGUCAAGCGAAGCUUGUGGCAACAGUGGUUAUACACAAGGAGCGAAGCUUGUGGCCACACAAGGAUUACAAUGGCAACAAGAGAUUAGGAAAAGGAGUGAUGAUGGUUGGAUGUUCUUCGGGAGGCCCGAUUGGCCUGUGGUAAUCGGAUCUUGCGAGGGGCGCAUGAGUGGGAGCAACACAAACGAGGGAAAGGACAUAGAAAAAGAAUAUCUGGAUUAAAGAAGACGAAGAGUUUAAGUUCCUACAUGGUAGAGCAAAUGCCGCG